GGCAAUUUAAACAGAGAGUACGAAAAGGACAUAUAAGGCUGAAAACAGAAGGACUUCCAGAAGAAUUCAAAGAUCAAAUCCUUUUAUGUGCUCUAGGAAACAAUUGAACAAAAUCCAACAAAACAAGCAACAAAGAUAAUUAAGUCAUCCCCCUACUGUUCUUAUCUAUAUAAAAGUCUAAAUUCAAAGAGAAAAUAUUGUUACCAUGAGUAAAAAAAUUAGGAGAAUAUAUAUAUAUAUA
rnacentral:misc_RNA from 1 species